rnacentral:lncRNA from 1 species
CCCCCCAUAUAUAACUAUCAUACCCCUACUCCUCACACUCGUCACCCUCAUCUCCCAUUCCCAGAGACCAAAAUCCUUAACCCUAAUCCGCCACCCCUUUUUCUACCACAUCCGCCAGGCGGUGCUACCUCCAAUCACCCCCAUCUUAACAUCCUAGAACCCCCUCACCUCCCUCUUCCAAAAUCUCUGACUAGUUUCCCUUGAAUCCCACCACAAAGGCUCAAAUGUUAAAUCUGAAUCGAAGAACCUAAUACCCUAAAACCCACAAAUCUACUCGAGUUCACCCUAAAUGACCUUCACCUAUUUCCCGUCCCAAACAUAUUCUUGCUUCCCGUCAAUUUAGCUCGUCAAUGGUCGAGCAGAGGUCAAGAGUGCCCUAGGCCUCGCCUUGUGUUUUUUUCUUUUUCUUUUUUGUUCAGAAAGGUUAAGUGAACCCAAACCGUCAUUAAUCAAAUGUCUUUUGUUUAGGACAAUCGAAUAAUGACCGUUAAAAUUCAUUUUCUUCUUCAAAAGGUUUAUUCGAGUGCAUGUGGGUUUUGUUGAGGCAAGUUGAGAUAAUUUCUUGGUGUCGAUUAGUUUCCGUUUGAUCUUCUAUUUUGUUUGUUUGUUUUCCAAUUUCUUUCUUCAGAAGAUCCAUUUCUUGUUUAAUUUCAUUACGUCUCUCGUUUUUAUAUUUAUUAGUUAACUUGUUCGCUAAAUCGUUAGUGACAAUCAGCUUCAUAGGGUUUGAGUGUAAUUUGUUUUCAAUUCAUGGGAUUUUCUUAUUUCUCUUAGGUUUCAUUUUUAUGUUUGAGAAUUAAUUCUAGAACUGAAGCAUUGAUAUUAGCCAAGUAUAGGUCAUCAUUUUAAUUAAUUCCUAUUUCAAAAGCAUUUUUGAGUUCAUGUGUGAAGGGUCUUAUGUUAAGUUCAGAUUAACUCUUCAUGUUUUAAUAUGAUUCAGUAAUUGUUUUGAAUUUCACUGGUUUUUAAUCCAGCCGAAAGUGCCAGCUCGUUUGCUUACUAUUUAUUGUGAUUGUUAGCAUUCGAAACUCAGGACGGGUAAGUGUAUAACUAGGAAAAUUUUAAGUGUAGCUUUGGGGAUUGGUUAUCUUGAAAUGGACAACUGCUCAAAAUUAUUAGGGAAAACAGGUUGCAAAUUGAAAAUAUCUUAAGGAAAUGGAUAGCUGUCAAAAAAUUAGUUUUAAAAGAUGCCCUGUGAGGGUAUUUUGGAAAAAUCUGAUUGAGUUGCCUUAGAAGGCACACAAUAGACUCCCAUACUUAUAAAUGAAGCCUUCCUUUCACUUAAUACACAAUUUUUUGCACCCUAGAGAGACUAAAAAGAUAAGAAGAAAUACUGAAUUUCAGAGUCAAUUAAUUUAAUUCUGAAAAUUCUCAGAAAAUUCUAAAAAUUAUUUGAGCUGGUUUUGAUUUCUUGGUUUUGGUUCUCUGAAUCUUUUGUUAAUCUAGAAUUUAUGAAAAACUUCCAAGAUUAUGCAUCUAGUUAGAGAAAUGGCUUAAGCUUUGGUUUGGAGUUGGUUUUUGAUUUCCUCUACUGUUCCGUUGAUUUCCUGAGCUGAUUUCACUGUUUCAUUGGCUGAAUUUGGGCUGAUUUCUGCUAUUGCUUGCUGCUGAUCGUUCACUUCUUUGGUUUUUCCCUUGUUCCUUACCAGUUAUUUUCCUUCAAACCAUGGAUGGAAAUGAAGCUUGUUAUGGCUGCUAUUUUGAAGUCGUAUAGUUCAAGUUGAAGAAACUGAUUGUUGUCCAUUCUUUAUUGAAUUACCAGUUUAAAAAUAUGUUAUAUUUUAUUUUCAUGUUUCUCCUAGACUCAUAUAUGUUAUAUAGCUUCUUCUAAUUAUCUUUUAGGUCCUGUUCCAGUGUUGUAUAAAGUUUCCUUUUCACUUGCUUAGUUUAAAUCCUAAAGGUUUUAUGAUCACCUGUAUAAGUGGUAGAGAACUAAUGCAAGGAGAUUUCAGUAGCAUCAAGUAUGUUUCAGGUCUAUUCUGGCCUGUUGAAGCCAGUGUUGUUGUGCAAAAGUGCUUAAAUUUGUUUUGAAAUUGAUGUCCCUAAAGUUUGAAAUCAGGAACUUUCAUGUUGAGGUUUGCAUUAGGUGAUGAACUUUAUAUGGUCUGCCUUAUCUUUGGUGAAAUCAGUUGUUUAACAUAGAUUUACACUUGAUAACAGGGGCAUGAAUGUAAGAUGGUUUUUUAAGCAUUUAAUGUUUCCUGCAUGUCAAGCUAUUCGACAUUGAUGAUUAGGUUCAUUUGGCAUAUCCUUUUGGCUUGUAUGUCCUUUUAUUUCACUUAGGCUUGAUUUUGGGUCUUCUGCCUUUAGUUUGCAUCUUUGUAAAGGUUGGGCCUCUUCUGUGCUUGAACGUUAAAGUUAAUGUGACACGAAAGGGGGUUUGCUUCCUUGGACGGUCCCGUGAUUCUCUACCUCAAGGAGGAGAUCUUCAGUAAAUUAUUGGGCCUGCUGCCAGGACCAGGGAUUUUUUUGGAAUAAAUAAAGGAUAUUGGACCUCUGAAUAACAAUCUGCGUUCAAACUUUAGUUUAUGCGUAGCUACAAUUUCACUAAAAUAUUCCUUAGUUAAUUAGUUGGGCUCUUAAAAAUAGAUUUGAGGUGAGUCAUAUUGAACAAAAGAAAUAGUUAUGGACCUCAAUAACUUAGUUUAGAUUCUGUUUAAAAUUAGAAUUUACGUGUGCUGUGCAAAAUAAAAUCUUAAAAUGCAUGCCUCUUGCAUAGAUUAAUAUUUUAAAUCCUUAGAAAUUUAGACAUGCCAUUUAGUUAAAUUCCCAUGGCCAUCACAAAUUUAAAAAUGCGUAGUUACUUUUGGUGCGUAAUUUAAAUCACAUUCCUAAACUCGGAUGUGGCUUUAUA